rnacentral:rRNA from 1 species
AUACGAAGGGUGCAAGCGUUGUUCGGAUUUACUGGGCGUAAAGCGUCCGUAGGUGGUUUGUUAAGUCAGGGGUGAAAUCCCGGGGCCUAACCCCGGAACUGCCUUUGAUACUGGCAGGCUGGAGCGCGAUAGAGGAAGAUGGAAUAUCUGGUGUAGGGGUGAAAUCCGUAGAUAUCAGAUAGAACACCAAUGGCGAAGGCAGUCUUCUGGAUCGUUGCUGACACUGAGGGACGAAAGCGUGGGUAGCAAACAGAAUUAGAUACUCUGGUAGUCCACGCCCUAAACGAUGCAUGCUUGUUGUUGGUUUCCUUCGGGGAAUCAGUGACGAAGCUAACGCGUUAAGCAUGCCGCCUGGGGACUACGAUCACAAGAUUAAAACUUAAAGGAAUUGACGGGG